ACUCCUACGGGAGGCAGCAGUGGGGAAUCUUGCGCAAUGGGGGAAACCCUGACGCAGCAACGCCGCGUGCGGGACGAAGGCUCUCGGGUCGUAAACCGCUUUUCAGGAGGGAAGAAAAUGACGGUACCUCCAGAAGAAGCCCCGGCCAACUACGUUGCCAGCAGCCUGCGGUACACGUAGGGGCCGANCUUGNCCGGAUUUAUUGGGCGUAAAGAGCUCGUAGGCGCUUGGUAAGU
rnacentral:rRNA from 1 species